GUGAAUACCAAAAUAGGAGAAAAUUUCAGAACUUUAAAAAACAUUUUGAAGUCUAAUUUGAUUUAAAAAUUAAUAAAACUCAGUGUUUAUUGAAUGUUUCCCAAGGGCCAGACAAUGUGCUGAGGGCAAAGCGCAAAAGAAAGGAGGUAUUUCUUACCACCAAUAUAAUUCUGCCUUCCAGGACCCGGCUAUUAGAAAAGAGGUUCAAUGUGAAUAUACUGACAAUAACAACAAAAAAAGAGAUUAGAGAAUUAAGAAAGAAAAUUCUAGAGGGCUUAAAGAUCACAUCUGGAAGGAUCUGAAAGGCCUCUUGAAGGAAAUAGAAAAAAAAAUUCUGGCUAAUUCCUCUAAUACUUCUGGACCCUCAUUGGCUAGGAAAUCAUGCUGUGUUCCCAUAUCUAUUUUCUGGUUCCGUGGAAGCUUCUUGAGUACAUGUCUAAUUUGGUUGGGUUCCCCCACUCUCGUACAGCUUCUCAUACAGGAAUACAAGUUCUGUGACGUUAUGGACGUUUCUUUUCUACUGCUUUCCUCAAAGAGACAAUCACAUUCCUUUAUGAAUAGAGAAUUCCCAAGAAACCAGACAUCAAGGAUAUGUAGUUAUAUCAUCACACAUGGGUCAUCCUAUUACAAGAGACACCCAGCACAAUCACUAGAAAUCAAGAAAGUGAUACCCCUAAUACCCUG
rnacentral:lncRNA from 1 species